CAGCCGUAAACAAUGUGCGUUAGGUGUGUCGGUAACCACGUGUUACUGAUGCGCCGAAGAGAAAUCGUGAAACGCACCACCUGGGAAGUACGGUCGCAAGGCUGAAACUUAAAGGAAUUGGCGGGGGAGCACCACAACAGGUGGAGCCUGCGGUUUAAUUGGAUUCAACGCCGGACAUCUCACCGGAUAAGACAGCUGAAUGGUUGUCAAUCUGAAGGUUUUACAUGACUAGCUGAGAGGAGGUGCAUGGCGUCAGUGACU
rnacentral:rRNA from 1 species